GACGAACGCUGGCGGCGUGCUUAACACAUGCAAGUCGAACGGUGAAGCGCCUUCCUUUUUGGUGGGUGUGGAUGAGUGGCGAACGGGUGAGUAACACGUGAGUAACCUGCCCCCUUCUUCUGGAUAACCGCAUGAAAGUGUGGCUAAUACGGGAUAUUCUGGGUCUGUCGCAUGAUGGGUCUGGGAAAGAUAUUGUUUCGGUGGGGGAUGGGCUCGCGGCCUAUCAGCUUGUUGGUGGGGUGAUGGCCUACCAAGGCGGUGACGGGUAGCCGGCCUGAGAGGGUAGACGGUCACACUGGGACUGAGACACGGCCCAGACGCCUACGGGAGGCAGCAGUGGAGAAUAUUGCACAAUGGGCGCAAGCAUGAUGCAGCGACGCCGCGUGAGGGAUGGAGGCCUGCGGGUUGUGAACCUCUUUCGCCAGUGAAGCAGGCCUGCCUCGUUUGUGGGUGGGUUGACGGUAGCUGGAGAAGAAGCGCCGGCUAACUACGUG
rnacentral:rRNA from 1 species